AGGAGGAGAAGCUGCACUGCGCUGAGUUCAGGAUCUGAGUCUCUACCGGACAGUAAAGCUGAGGAAGGAGGAGAAGCUGCAGGAGGAGCUGAGUGUGAAGGAGAGCUGGAGGAGUCCUGCUGAGGAAGGAGGAGAAGCUGCAGGAGGAGCUGAGUGUGAAGGAGAGCUGGAGGAGACCUGCUGAGGAAGGAGGAGAAGCUGCAGGAGGAGCUGAGUGUGAAGGAGAGCUGGAGGAGACCUGCUGAGGAAGGAGGAGAAGCUGCAGGAGGAGCUGAGUGUGAAGGAGAGCUGGAGGAGUCCUGCUGAGGAAGGAGGAGAAGCUGCAGGAGGAGCUGAGUGUGAAGGAGAGCUAGAGGAGACCUGCUGAGGAAGGAGGAGAAGCUGCAGGAGGAGCUGAGUGUGAAGGAGAGCUGGAGGAGACCUGCUGAGGAAGGAGGAGAAGCUGCAGGAGGAGCUGAGUGUGAAGGAGAGCUGGAGGAGACCUGCUGAGGAAGCAGGAGAAGCUGCAGGAGGAGCUGAGUGUGAAGGAGAGCUGGAGGAGUCCUGCUGAGGAAGGAGGAGAAGCUGCAGGAGGAGCUGAGUGUGAAGGAGAGCUGGAGGAGACCUGCUGAGGAAGGAGGAGAAGCUGCAGGAGGAGCUGAGUGUGAAGGAGAGCUGGAGGAGUCCUGCUGAGGAAGGAGGAGAAGCUGCAGGAGGAGCUGAGUGUGAAGGAGAGCUGGAGGAGACCUGCUGAGGAAGGAGGAGAAGCUGCAGGAGGAGCUGAGUGUGAAGGAGAGCUGGAGGAGUCCUGCUGAGGAAGGAGGAGAAGCUGCAGGAGGAGCUGAGUGUGAAGGAGAGCUGGAGGAGUCCUGCUGAGGAAGGAGGAGAAGCUGCAGGAGGAGCUGAGUGUGAAGGAGAGCUGGAGGAGACCUGCUGAGGCAGAGCUUCACCGGAGAGAGCAACUGGAUUCACAGACAGACGCCGUUCUGCCUGCGCGAGCGAGAGAAGGAGAGAGAGUGAAUCAGAGAUCCCACAGCUCUACAGACAGGAGUCAU
ensembl:lncRNA